GUAAAACCAAAGACAGGCAGCCCGGCGCCAGGCCUGAAACCAGGCCUGGGCCUGCCUGGCCUAAACCCAGUAGUUAAAAAUCAACUCAUAACUUAGAAACUGAUGUUAUUCAUAGAUUCCAGACAUUGUAUAGAAGAACAUUGUGAAACUCCCUGUCCUGUUCUGUUUCUCUCUGACCACCGGUACAUGCAGCCCCUGUCAUGUACCGCCUGCUUGCUCAAAUCAAUCACGACCCUUUCAUGUGAAAUCUUUAGUGUUAUGAGCCCUUAAAAGGGACAGAAAUUGUGCAUUCGGGGAGCUUGGAUUUUAAGGCAGUACCUUGCCAAUGCUCCCAGCUGAAUAAAGCCCUUCCUUCUACAACUAGGUGUCUGAGAGGUUUUGUCUGCGACUCGUCCUGCUACAUUUCUUGGUUCCCUGACCAGGAAGCGAGGUGACUGACGGACGGCCGAGGCAGCCCCUUAGGUGGCUUAAGCCUGCCCUGUGGAGCAUCCCUGAGGGGGACUCUGGCCAGCCUGAGUGAUGUGGUCCGAAGAGCGCUUGGGUAGGAAAUUGCCCCUGUGGAAUGCCUCGUCAGAGCAGCGCAUAGCAGGCCCCCACGGAGGAUUAACACAGUGGCUGAACACUGGGAAGGAACUGGCCCUUGGAGUCCAGACAUCUGAAACUUGCUCUCAAGAGUUUGGGGUUUUUGAGGUUUGCCAUGGUACAUCAAUAGAAUAUCAAAUGACAGGAUAAGACCUAGAAGACAAAUGUAAAAUUCCAAAAUGCAUGCUGUGGAUGAAUGUAGCAAUAUGAGAUGAGUACUAUUUGGGAUGCAGAAAGCAAUAUUUAACUGAUCAGCUGCCACUCACAUCAUGAAUCAGAAGCAGCCUUAAAAGAAAGGAUCCCUUCUUGCUAUUUUGAAGGGAAAUAACUGAGUCCUUUGGAGCUGAAAAUGAAAAACUGAGUAGCUGGUGGAAGAAGCGAGAUGGGUUUGGAACUCACAGGCUAUGUUUCUGGAUGCAUCACAUUUGCAAGAGGGAAGUUUUGGUGUCCCUGUGGGUAUAUUAGCACUCCUUUACUCCAUUUCUCUGUAGCUACUCAAGCAAGUGACAAGUAAGUAUGUUGAGACCACAUGUGACAUAUAAAUUACAAGUUCUCCUGCCCCUCUAAAAGUUUAUUCAGCAUCAACCUUUGCACCAACACACUAAGGCAUAAUAGCUGAUAAUUUAUGAGUGUAAUUUGAAGGAAGCAAUUCUGUUUUGUGAUUAUGGUAGUAAAUAAAAGAUUCAAAUCCUCAUUGACACACCAUGAAAUUCAGCUUUACUUUUUUUUUUUUAACCUUGAUAUUGUUUAUGGAAAGAAGGCUGCAGAGUCCAAGAAAGGUGACAGAUAUGAAGAAAUGCAGUGGUUGCAAAGGACAAAGACAAUGGCAACACAAAUAAAAGAAAUUAUGAGAAGGAAAUAAAUAUUAAAAAAAAAACCCAAACGUUUGUUGAUGUAAACUGAAAAUAAAUUUGGAAUGAGCUGUGUGCACUUGGAAAUGAGAAGCUCUGUCCUGCACCAUGAAGGGCUUUGUGUGCAUCCAUGGGUUGCUUCUGCAUGCAGAAUGAGACUGGAACAAAAAAGAACCAUUUAAAACACAGGAUCCAGGUGAUUCAGGAUUUUAAAUUGAAGAUUGAUCAUACAAGCUGGAAGACGUCCCAUGACACUUUAUUUGAAAUUGGAACAUCAGAAUUUGGUUGGGUCUAUCUUUUACUAACUCUGUACCAUGAAAAAAUUAUUUAAUAUUUCUGAACUGUGUAAAGAAUAAAAUUAGAUUAUGAAUUCAAUCUGUUGCUGCAUAAUCAAUUACCUCCAAUCUUAGCAGCUUCAAACAACAAACAUAAAUAAACUUAGUUUCUGCAGCUCAGGAAUUCAGGAGUUUAGCUAGAUGGUUCUGGCUUGGAGUCUUCCAUGAGGUUGCCAUCUAGAGGUCAGCCAAGGCUGCAGUCAUUUGAAGGUUUGACUGGGGCUUGAGAAUUCACUCUCAUGGCUAGUCACAUGUUCACUUCUGUGUUGGCUGUUGGCAGGAAUUUUCAGAACCUUGCCAUGUGGGUCUCUCCAUAUGGCUGCUUAAGCAUCCUCAUGACACGUCAGCUGGUCUCCCCAGUGGGAGUGAUCGAAGAGACAGAAGCAAGAAUGUCUUCAAUGACCUACCCUUGUAAGUCACAUACCUCACUUUCACCUAAUCCUCAAAAGGAGAGAGUUAGACUCCACCUUUUGGAGGCAAGAAUGUCAAAGAAUUUGUGGACAUAUUUCAAAACCAUCACUGGAUCAUAUAUGUGAAAAUAAACACUUACAAAAAAUAAAGUGCUAUAAAUGGGAUACAUUCAGAUAAGGAACCCUUCUUUCAAUGCCAUCCCAGAAUUCCCUCAGCUUAAUUCUCCCAGAAGCUUCAAGACCUUCUAAAAUUGUUUGGGCUUGGUCUUUAUAGUCUGGAGGCACCAAAAGCCUGAGAUUUGUAUAGAUUAAGGAAGAAUCAGAAUCUAAGAGACAUUAAAUGACUAGCCAAAGAUCACACUGCUAGUUGGUGGAAGUCCGAGGAGUUUGUCCUAAGUGUGCCUAACUUCAAAUCCCCUCAUCUUAAUCAUUGUGUCACAUCAUGUCAUAAAAAUGGAUGAAAGAAGAAAGAAGACACAAACACCCAGUAUUAUUUUAGGACAAUUUCAUGGCAUUAAGUGUGGAUUUUCGUUUUAGCUAACAUUUUCAUGAAGGAAAAUCUUUGAGGAUGUUCUCUCCAUUAAAAAAAGAAGGAAAAAAACUCAAGAUAAUUAUAGAUUUACAUGCAGUUGUAAAAGUUAGUAAUGUAAAGAGAAGGCUUGUACACUUUGCCUAAUUUCCCCAGUGGUAACUUUUUUAGAGCUAUAGUAUGAUAUCACAACCAGGAUAUUGACAUCAGUCAAUCCACUGAUCUUAUUCAGUUUUCCUAAGUUUACUCUUUAAUGUGUGUGUGAAGUUCUACACAAUUUUAUUACUCGUAUAAGUUCGUGUAUCAUCACCCUGGUUAAAAUACUGAGGGGUUCCAGUGCCACAAGGAUCCCUCCUAUUCUUUUUGAGCCACACCCAUUCCCCUUCUUCCCCAAUUUCUCCACCUCCCUUUCUAACUAUCUGCCACUAGUCUGUCCUCCAUUUCUAAAAUUUUGUCAUUUCAAAAAUUUAAUAUAAGUGGAAUUAUGUAGUAUACAACAAUUUGGAGUUUUGUUUUUGCUCAACAUGAUUUCCUAAAGAUUCAUUCAAGUAGUUCUGUAUAUCGAUAGUGUAUUUCUUUUUAUUGCUGAGUAGUAUUACAAUUUUGUUUAACCAUUCAACUCUUUUUUGUUAGUUUCUUUUUGUUUUUGAGAUGGAGUCUGUUGCCCAGGCUGGAAUGCAGCAGCGCGAUCUCUGCUCACAGCAACCUCUGCCUCCUGUGUUCAAGCUAUUCUCCAGCCUCAGCCUCCUGAGUAGCUGAGAUUACAGGCGUGAGCCACAGCGCCCACCCUAGCCAUUCAACUCUGAAGCACAUCUGGGUUGAUACCAGUUUUGGGCUGUUACAAUAAAACUUCUAUGAACAUUCACGCACAAAUUUUUGUGGGAACAUACGUUUUCAUUUCUCUAGGAUAGAUGUACAGGAAUAAAAUUCUGGGUCAUAUGGUAGUUGCAUGUUUAAAUAUUUAAGAAACUGCUAAACUGCUUUCCAGAGUGUCUGUACCAUUUCACAGUCCUAAAAGCGAUGUAUGAAUGAUCCAGUUUCACCAUUUCCUCAUCAGCAUUUGGUGUUGUAAUUCUCAUUUUAAUAAUGCUUAUAGAUGUGUGGUGAUAUCUCAUUAUGGUGUUCAUUUGUAUUUCUCUAAUGACCAAUAAAUAUUUAACAUAUUUCCAUGUGCCUGCUUUUUUGCCAUUUUAUAUCCUCUUUGGUCUAUAAUGCCUUUUGUCCAUUUUCUAAUUAAAUAUUUAUGUAUUGUUGAGUUUUCAGAGUUCUUUAUAUAUUCUAGAUAUUAUUCCUUUGUCAGCUAUGUGGUUUUAAAAUAUUUAUUUCUAUCUUGUAGCUUGUAAUUUCAUUUUCCUCACGUGGACUUUCACAAAGCAAGUGUUUUUAUUUUUGAUAAAAUCAGAUUUGUCAAGUUUUCCUUCUGUGGAUCAUGAUUUUGUUGUCAAGUCCAAUAACUGUCUGCCUAGCUCCAGAUCCCAAAGUUUGCUCCUGUG
rnacentral:lncRNA from 1 species